GUCUAGGUAGCUUAUUUAGAGCGUGAUAUUGAAGAUAUUAAGGUAAUAUUAGUAUUCUUGGACA
rnacentral:tRNA from 1 species